ACCGUGAGGGAAUGGUGAAAAGUACCCCGGGAGGGGAGUGAAAUAGUACCUGAAACCGUGUGCCUACAAUCCGUCAGAGCCUCCUUGUGGGGUGAUGGCGUGCCUUUUGAAGAAUGAGCCUGCGAGUCAGCGGCACGUCGCGAGGUUAACCCGUGUGGGGUAGCCGUAGCGAAAGCGAAUACUAACUAGUGUGUUGUUAGUGGCGUGUCCUGGACCCGAAGCGGGGUGAUCUACCCAUGGCCAGUGUGAAGCGACGGUAAGACGUCGUGGAGGCGCGAACCCACUUAGGUUGAAAACUGAGGGGAUGAGUUGUGGGUAGGGGUGAAAGGCCAAUCAAACUCCGUGAUAGCUGGUUCUCCCCGAAAUGCAUUUAGGUGCAGCGUCGUGUGUUUCUUGCCGGAGGUAGAGCUACUGGUUGGUUUAGCGGGACUACCAUCUUAGCGACAUCAGCCAAACUCCGAAUGCCGGUAAGUGAGAGCGCGGCAGUGAGACUGCGGGGGAUAAGCUUCGU
rnacentral:rRNA from 1 species